UGGGGAAUAUUGCACAAUGGGGGAAACCCUGAUGCAGCGACGCCGCGUGAGCGAAGAAGUAUUUCGGUAUGUAAAGCUCUAUCAGCAGGGAAGAAAAUGACGGUACCUGACUAAGAAGCUCCGGCUAAAUACGUGCCAGCAGCCGCGGUAAUACGUAUGGAGCAAGCGUUAUCCGGAUUUACUGGGUGUAAAGGGAGCGCAGGCGGUGAGGCAAGUCUGAUGUGAAACUCCGGGGCUCAACCCCGGAACUGCAUUGGAAACUGUUUGACUGGAGUGUCGGAGGGGCAGGCGGAAUUCCUAGUGUAGCGGUGAAAUGCGUAGAUAUUAGGAGGAACACCAGUGGCGAAGGCGGCCUGCUGGACGAUGACUGACGCUGAGGCUCGAAAGCGUGGGGAGCAAACAGG
rnacentral:rRNA from 1 species